UGGAAGAGAACACGACCAUCCAAAGUUUUUGUUUGACAUCACUUAACAUUUUAUCCUAAAGUAACAGAGUUAAUAAUUAUUCUACCCUUGAUAUGUUUCAUAAAUCAAAGUUAAAGUUGAAUGCAAGAUAAAAAAUAUUUGCAUUGAAGGAUUUUAAAGUCUGUCUGAUACAGGAAGCAGGAAGUAGAGACUGAAAAGAGAACAUGACUUCAUCUGUGUGGUUUUCCCCUGUUGAAUCCAAAGUAAUCCUCUGCAUGGAUCCCUCUGAAAGCAAUGGCUGUUUUUCUCGUCUCCGUGUACAUUCACCACACGAGUGUUGCAGUCAUGUUGCUUCUUGGGAAGUCAUGGGAUUCCUUUGGAAAAACAACGCCGCAGGGGGAAGAAGACGGCGUACGAGGAGACUUUGUGGGAAGAACAGUGUAAGCUCUGUCUCAAACACUUCCCUCUGGUAUCAAAGCAAAGACCCCGUGACAUGUCGGGUUCUUGUUAUUCACAGUUGACAUUACAUCUGAUGUUUGCAACAAAUAAAGCACGCAGGAACUUCAAUGAACCCUGCUGUAUCUAGGAAAAUAACAAAUACCCAUGGCUGAUUUGUUGUUUAGUGAACGGGCAUCAAGUGAGCAUUAAAAAUCAGACUGGAUUAAA